rnacentral:lncRNA from 1 species
UUUCGUUGGCUAAAGUCUGUGACUUUAGCCGACGACUUUAAACAUUCUUUAGCCGACGAAUUUUUAAUUUCGUCGGCUAAAGUUGACUAUAGCCGACGAAAAUAAAUUUCGUCGGCUAAAGUUCUUUAUAUUCGCAGAUCUGGACAGCAGCUCAUCUGAGAAAAAAAAACGGGAGAAGAAAAAACGGGAGAAAAAGUUUGGGUGUUGUUGAAAUCUGUCCAUAAUUAAGAAGUGGAGCUAUAUAUAGGUACGUACAUGUGUAUAUAUGUUGAUUUUGAGUUUUAUUUGAGUUUAUCGAUUUUGAGUGUGAUUGAAUUGAUAGAUUUUGAGUACGUUUGAUGUAUAUAUAUAUGUGUGUGUUGAUCGAUAUGGUUGAUGAUUUGAUAAUAUAUAUGAAGUUGUUGUUAAUAAGUAGUAGAUAUAUAUAUAUAUGUUAAUUAAUUUAUAAUAUUGUGUUGAUGGUAUGAAUUUGUUGAUGAUGAUUUUGUGAUGAUGUUGAUAUAUAUAACAUUGUUAUGUAAUUAUUAAUUAAGUAUAUCUAUAUAUAUAUAUGUGUGUGUUAAUUAAUUUGUUAUCAAUUAAUUAGUUGUAGUACGUAGAAUAUAUAUAAAUGAAUUAAAAUUUUAUAUAUGACAUAGAAUUUAAUUAAUAAUUAGCUAGCGUUAUACAUAUAUAUUUUGUUAUAUUUUCAGGAUAUGGAUAAGAGUUGGAUUUCGCUUCCAAAAUGGGACAAAAGAUAUGGUAAAGGAAUUAUGAGUUUUCUGGAAUAUGCGCUGGCUAAUGCUAACGGGAAUACAAUUUUCUAUUGCCCGUGCACGAAAUGUCAGUGUCGCAACGAUAUGCAUCGAUUUGCGAUUGACAAAGUAUGGCAGCACUUGAAGAGUAACGGGUUUUGGGAGAAGUACACAUGUUGGUUAUAUCACGGUGAAACAUCAUCUGGGGGUCCGCAUGAUCAUGGCCAAUUUUCUGAGACGAGCAGUACAUCCAACGAUCCAACAACGGUCUUCAUCAACGACAUGUUUCCUUAUGAGAGCGAUGUAUGCGCUCAAGGACAGUAUAUGCCUAACCCGGUGCAGCCCUUCCCUAGAGCUGUCAACACUGCUGGUAUUGACAAGUACAACAAACUGCUUGCUUUCCAACAGGCCCUUGUGUACCCCGGUUGUCAGAAGACCGUUCUUGAAAGUGUGAUGGACGUAAUGAAGAUUAAAGUUGAGACUAAAUCGACUGUGAAAGCUGUUAAUGAUUAUCUACAGUACACUGCUUCGAUGCUGCCUCACGGUCAUCGUCUUCCUACCACUCAUCAUAAGGUCCGAUGUAUCCUGAAAGAUCUUGGGCUUUCCUACAUCAAGAUCCAUGCAUGCAGAUAUGACUGCGUUCUCUUUUGGGGUAAAGAUCCAGAAGGGAAUGACCUUGGUGGCCUUGACGCAUGUCCGGUAUGUCACA